UAAGAAUCGCAGAAGCAGAAAUAGUUCAAGAAGACCAUCAGCUGAAACAGUUUUUGCUAGCUUUGGAGGAAGAAGUGAGACAUCCCAAAAUACUUUGCUCCUCUCUACAGGCCCGUGCCACACACAUCCAAAGCAUGAUGAAAGCGGGGCUGAGUGCAAAACCAUGAAAUCUCCAAAUGUG